UACGUAGGGGUGCAAGCGUUGUCCGGAAUUAUUGGGCGUAAAGAGCUCGUAGGCGGUCUGUCGCGUCUGCUGUGAAAUCUCCGGGCUUAACUCGGAACGGUCAAGUGAUACUGUCGUGCUAGAGUACAGAAGGGGCAACUGGAAUUCUCGGUGUAGCGGUGAAAUGCGUAGAUAUCGAGAGGAACACCUGCGGCGAAGGCGGGUUGCUGGGCUGAUACUGACGCUGAGGCGCGAAAGCUAGGGGAGCGAACGGG
rnacentral:rRNA from 1 species